CAAUCCCACUCGACCCCUUUAAUUAUACUGAGAACUUCUAUAAGAUUAUAGAACCUUUUAUGCUAAAACUAGUAACAAGAGGUAAAUCCUCUCUACAAUGCGGGUAUAAGCCAGCAAGAACCCACCACUGGCAACUGACAGACCUAAUAAAAGUAGCAACUUCUCCCAGAAAACUCUACUCCAACCAACUGUUAACCUAAUACCAGAACAUUUCAAGAAAGAUUAAAAGAAAAAGAAGGAAUUCGGCAAAUAUUAGCUCCGCCUGUUUACCAAAAACACCGCCUCUUGUAUAUAUAAGAGGUCCAGCCUGCCCAGUGACUUCUGUUCAACGGCCGCGGUAUCCUAACCGUGCAAAGGUAGCGUAAUCACUUGUCUUCUAAAUAGAGACUAGUAUGAAAGGCAUCACGAGAGUUAAACUGUCUCCUCUCUCUAAUCAGUGAACCUAAUAACCCCGUGAAGAAGCGGGGGUAUUUAUAUAAGACGAGAAGACCCUAUGGAGCUUAAAACAUCAUAACACCUGCCACCCCACUUAUUUACCCCGGUUUUCAUCCCCCUGGCUUCCUGAUUAUGUGUUUUUGGUUGGGGCGACCGCGGAGAAAAACCUAUCCUCCACAAUGAAGGGGACCUUCCCUAAACAGUAAGCUACAGCUUUAUGUAUCAGCAAACUGACAUCAUUGACCCAAUAUAUUUGAUUAACGAACCAAGUUACCCUAGGGAUAACAGCGCAAUCCACUUUGAGAGCCCCUAUCGACAAGUGGGCUUACGACCUCGAUG
rnacentral:rRNA from 1 species